rnacentral:snRNA from 1 species
UUUUUCUCCAGAAUACUCUAUA